CUGGAAUAUGCCUCAAUUAUAUGGUCACCUUACUAUGAUUGUCACAUUAGAAAUAUUGAGUCCGUCCAGAAAACAUUUCUUCGUUCUUUGGCAUUUCGAGCUCAUAUCAAUAUUUGUCAGGGUUUUAACAUUAAUUAUGAUCUGGUUAAUCAAACAUUUAAAUUGGAUAGCUUGGAAGUAAGAAGGGCUAAAUCAGAUUUAACAAUCAUUUAUAAAAUAUUAAAUGGUCUAUAUCAUUGCUCAACUAUCUUACAAGCUAUAAGCCUCAAUACUGUCCAAAGACGGGUUUCCCCAAUUUUUCGCAUACCUUAUCAUAAUACGAACUAUUGCUUUUACUCCCCAUUGUCACGCACCUUGCGUCUAAUUAAUCAUAAUCAAAACAGUCUUGAUCCAUUUGUGGACAGUCUUCGUGUAUUUAAAAGAAGCAUACAUAAUUCAGUAACUGAAGUAAAGUACUAAGUUCCUAUAAUUUAUUAAUUAUUUAUUAUUGUUACUAAUUUAAUUUUGUUGGUUUUUAUUGUUGUCAUUGUUGUCAUUUUUAUUAUCUUUUGUUAUUUGUUAUUUUAGGUUAAAAUUGGUUAUCUUUACUGUUUACCAUAAUAUUUCAUUUUUUUUAUACAUUUUUUGUAAAUUGGCUCUGCCGUUUAUUGAAUAAAUUGAAAUUGAAAUAGAAUCUAUCAUAAAUUUUGAACGCGCGAUAUUGCCCCACUCUGUGCACGAAAUUACCCCACGGGGUGGGGAAUAUCACGCAAAUGCACUAGUGUAGAAAAAAUAUUAUUAUUAUUUAACUGGAGGAUCCGGUCCUGGUAAAUGGACAGUUAACACGCAGUUAGAAGUAGCUCCUGUUAAAAAUUAAAAUUCAGUGGUUUAAACGAACAGUAAAUUAAUGAAAUUUAAUAUAGAACAAAAUAUAAAGUGCAGUGAAUUAGUGUGUAAAACAACAGCCAGAAUCUUACCGAGACCGAGAAAUCGUAGCAGGUAAACGAUCGUUGGGCAAUGAGAGAAGUUCCUUUUAAACAUUUAUAUGAUUCAUUUUCAUUCAUUUUCAAACAUUUAUGUGAUUCCAUAUACGUACCUAUCUAUUAAAAUUAUUUAUUCCCAGAUUUUUAAUAAAGAAUAAAAACAAUUUAAACAUA